UACAGAGGGUGCGAGCGUUAAUCGGAAUUACUGGGCGUAAAGCGCACGUAGUCGGCUUUGCAAGUCGGGUGUGAAAUCCCCGGGCUCAACCUGGGAACUGCAUCCGAGACUGCAUUGCUAGAGUAUGGGAGAGGGAAGCGGAAUUUCUGGUGUAGCAGUGAAAUGCGUAGAUAUCAGAAGGAACAUCAGUGGCGAAGGCGGCUUCCUGGACCAAUACUGACGAUCAGGUGCGAAAGCGUGGGGAGCGAACAGG
rnacentral:rRNA from 1 species